UACAGAGGGUGCGAGCGUUAGUCGGAAUUACUGGGCGUAAAGCGUGCGUAGACGGUUCUGUAAGUCGGAUGUGAAAUCCCCGGGCUCAACCUGGGAAUUGCAUUCGAGACUGCAAAGCUUGGGUGCGGAAGAGGGAAGCGGAAUUUCCGGUGUAGCGGUGAAAUGCGUAGAUAUCGGAAGGAACAUCAGUGGCGAAAGCGGCUUCCUGGUCCAGCACCGACGUUCAGGCACGAAAGCGUGGGGAGCAAACAGG
rnacentral:rRNA from 1 species